rnacentral:sRNA from 1 species
AGGCGCUAGGGAUUUUGUUAUUCAAAAGAUAACGAACUCUAUGGCAAUGCGUGUCUGUGACGAUAUAAUCAUAUAGGAUAAUGACGAUUCGCAAAGAUUAGCUGAAUAAACAUAUUUGACUAAAGCAAAAGUCAUUGCCCGUUAUAAACGAUAGUGCCUUUUUGUAGGAUUAACCUACACACGAAACCUUCGCAAAAGGAAUCGUGAAGUCGAAAAGUAAAGCAGUUUAGACCGUAGCUAGGUUUUUAUUAAUUGAAAGACGGCUUAGUAGUUUAUAACGAUACGAGUAGUUGGCGAUACUAACUAGGCAUGAGUGUUACGUGUAGGAAUAUGCGUGGAAACAAAACUAAAACAUAAGGUUUUAAAAGACACUCAAACAUUACCUGUAUUCUCAAG